rnacentral:rRNA from 1 species
ACCGGUUGAUCCUGCCGGAGGGAACCCCUAUCGGGCUCGCACUAAGCCAUGCGAGUCUGCUGGGGGCCCCUGCCCCUGGCGGCGCACGGCUCCGUAAUACACGGUCAACCUGUCCUGGGGACCGGGAUAACCUCGGGAAACUGAGGCUAAUACCGGAUAGGGGUGGAUUCCUGGAAUGGGUCCACCCCUAAAGUAGGCGGGGGGACGGCCCCGCUGAGGCCCCAGGGUGGGACCGUGGCCUAUCAGGUAGUAGGUGGGGUAACGGCCCACCUAGCCUAAGACG